GCACAAGCGGUGGAGCAUGUGGUUCAAUUCGACGCAACGCGAAGAACCUUACCCAGGCUUGAACUGCGAGUGACAUCCUACGAAAGUAGGCUUCCGCAAGGACGCUCGUAGAGGUGCUGCAUGGCUGUCGUCAGCUCGUGUCGUGAGAUGUUGGGUUAAGUCCCGCAACGAGCGCAACCCUUGUCCUUAGUUGCCAGCAUUCAGUUGGGCUCUCUAAGGAGACUGCCGUGGUGAACACGGAGGAAGGUGGGGAUGACGUCAAGUCCUCAUGGCCUUUAUAUCCAGGGCGACACACGUGAUACAAUGGACGGUACAGAGGGAAGCGAAGCCGCGAGGUGGAGCCAAUCUCAAAAAGCCGUUCUCAGUUCGGAUUGGAGUCUGCAACUCGACUCCAUGAAGUUGGAAUCGCUAGUAAUCGCGGAUCAGCACGCCGCGGUGAAUACGUUCCCGGGC
rnacentral:rRNA from 1 species